ACGUAGCCCGGAACCUUUCUCCAGCGGUCGGUGUUUAGUCCGGAAUAUAACGCACAAGCAUACAACUAUCAUGAUGGCCACUCUUACUAAAGCUUUAAAACCAAUCUUGGGAAUGCAGUUUGGAAAUACAGCAAAGGUCUUUGGCGCAGCAGUCAACAGUCAAAGAGGAAAACCUACAUAUGCAGGACGAAUCAUACCUCCUCCUGCCAAGUAUGGAGGCCGGCAUACUGUAACAUUGAUUCCUGGAGAUGGGAUUGGACCAGAACUGCUUAACCAUGUGCGAGAGCUCUUCAGGUUCAGCUGUGUUCCUGUGGACUUUGAGGUGGUGCAUGUAAAUUCUGCAUCAACCAGUGAGGACGACAUCAAUAAUGCCAUUAUGGCCAUUCGCCGCAAUGGAGUUGCUCUUAAGGGUAACGUUGAGACUAACCACACAAUGCCCCCUAACCACAAGUCACGGAACAAUCUUCUACGCACGAGUCUGGAUCUGUAUGCCAAUAUGAUGCACUGCCAGUCACUUCCUGGAGUUCAGACACGCCACAAAAACAUCGACAUCAUCAUCAUUAGAGAAAAUACAGAGGGCGAGUACAGCAGUCUGGAGCAUGAGAGUGUAUCGGGAGUUGUGGAGUCUCUAAAAAUCAUCACACGGAACAACUCCCUCCGCAUUGCUGACUAUGCCUUCAGACUGGCCCGAGAUAAAGGUCGCCGCAGGGUCACGGCUGUCCACAAGGCUAACAUCAUGAAACUGGGGGAUGGGCUGUUCUUGCAGUGCUGCAAGGAGGUGGCCUCUGGAUACCCAGACAUUGAGUUUGAUAGUAUGAUUGUAGACAACACCACCAUGCAGCUUGUUUCCAAGCCCCACCAGUUUGAUGUCAUGGUGAUGCCUAACCUCUAUGGGAAUGUGGUCAGCAAUGUGUGUGCGGGGCUGGUGGGUGGACCCGGUCUGGUGCCUGGUGCCAACUACGGGCGAGACUACGCUGUGUUUGAAACGGCCACCAGGAAUACAGGAAAGAGUAUUGCCAACAGGAACAUUGCCAACCCCACUGCCAUGCUGCUUGCCAGCUGCCUCAUGUUAGAUCAUCUCAAACUUCAUGACUAUGCCAACAUGAUCCGCGGUGCGAUUCUCACCACCAUGAACGAGACCAGGUUGCACACCGUUGACAUUGGGGGUCAGGGCACUACCUCAGAAGUGGUUCAGUCUAUCAUGAGGAUCAUCCAGAGCGGCGGUCCCCUCACCACUGAGAUCUAAACCGAGUCAGCACCACUCCACCACUGUUACUGAGCACAUUAUCUUUUUUGCCAUUGCCAGGAGCCACAAGCCUGAGUUAUUGAUAAUUCCAUUUCCUGUUUGACAUCAGCUUCUUAAGGACAUCUGCACUUAAUUUUAUGUCUCAAUAACGUUGCUUUCACUGGAGACGAGAUUUAUUCUUGAAUCCAGCAGCUUUUAUGGGGAUCAGCAGGGGUGAAGAUGGUGUUACAUGAAAUACAACAUACUUCAGCACUGUGAUUGUGGUGUUUCUUGGGCUUAGUGGUCUUUCCACGGGAACUGCAGAGUUUUUAGAUUUAUCAUAUUGUAUCUGAAAGGUUAUAUUGUUUUAAUGCUAUGCUAAUACAGUAUUUAUGAUGAGGGUCUUGCAUUGGAUUUGUGUUGCUGCUGCUCAGUUGCAUUCCACAUUUUAUCCAUUCUUACCGUGUUAUCCUCAAACACAACAUAUUCAUUUUGGUUUUAUACCUUUUUAGUUUACUUUAAUGACCCUAUACAAACCUCCCAACUGUCCAUUUACAUAAUUAUAUUAUACUUGUAUAAACUACAGCAUUUUACUUUUUUUAACUGCCUUAAACUGUUGGGUGUUUAAAUGGACUUCAUAUUCUGGAUGUCCAUGAGAUGGUAUUUUUCUUUGGACUUUAUGCUGGGGUAUUAUUUAUGAUUAAUACUUAAUACUUAAUGGUGGUCUAAUGUUGCAUCAUUUAGUUUGGACCUUUAUGUUCCUGUUCAGUAUGUGAUAAGUCUGCAUCUGGCAUACUGUCAGCUUUUGAAUUAAACAUCUACAUUUUCCACCAUGAAAUGCAGUUUUUAGAUUAGUAUAUUUAGAAUACUGUAAAGCAGUGGUUCUCAACCUUUUGGCUCAAAGGCUCCCAUUGUCCACAACAGUAUUCAGUUUUAUUAAAUUUUUAAUUUUCUGAAAAAAAUAUCAAAGCUUGGCAUAAAUAGAAAACUGUAUAAACAAUAUAUGAAUAUAAUUGUUUGAUUUUAACAAUGUACGUGACUUUUCCAGGUCUAGAACUUCACUGGUUGAAAGUCACCACUGUAAAGAGUUAAAAUUUGGACUGUUGCACAAAUCCAUAAUGGCUCACUGGUAAUCCACAGACAUAAUAAAAUGGUUUUCC